rnacentral:rRNA from 1 species
UGCAACCUGAACUCAGAUGUGAUUACCCGCU